GACGAACUUUGGCGGCGUGCCUAAUACAUGCAAGUCGAGCGAGCGGAACUAACAGAUUUACUUCGGUAAUGACGUUAGGAAAGCGAGCGGCGGAUGGGUGAGUAACACGUGGGGAACCUGCCCCAUAGUCUGGGAUACCACUUGGAAACAGGUGCUAAUACCGGAUAAGAAAGCAGAUCGCAUGAUCAGCUUUUAAAAGGCGGCGUAAGCUGUCGCUAUGGGAUGGCCCCGCGGUGCAUUAGCUAGUUGGUAAGGUAAAGGCUUACCAAGGCGAUGAUGCAUAGCCGAGUUGAGAGACUGAUCGGCCACAUUGGGACUGAGACACGGCCCAAACUCCUACGGGAGGCAGCAGUAGGGAAUCUUCCACAAUGGACGCAAGUCUGAUGGAGCAACGCCGCGUGAGUGAAGAAGGUUUUCGGAUCGUAAAGCUCUGUUGUUGGUGAAGAAGGAUAGAGGUAGUAACUGGCCUUUAUUUGACGGUAAUCAACCAGAAAGUCACGGCUAACUACGUGCCAGCAGCCGCGGUAAUACGUAGGUGGCAAGCGUUGUCCAGAUUUAUUGGGCGUAAAGCGAGCGCAGGCGGAAGAAUAAGUCUGAUGUGAAAGCCCUCGGCUUAACCGAGGAACUGCAUCGGAAACUGUUUUUCUUGAGUGCAGAAGAGGAGAGUGGAACUCCAUGUGUAGCGGUGGAAUGCGUAGAUAUAUGGAAGAACACCAGUGGCGAAGGCGGCUCUCUGGUCUGCAACUGACGCUGAGGCUCGAAAGCAUGGGUAGCGAACAGGAUUAGAUACCCUGGUAGUCCAUGCCGUAAACGAUGAGUGCUAAGUGCUGGGAGGUUUCCGCCUCUCAGUGCUGCAGCUAACGCAUUAAGCACUCCGCCUGGGGAGUACGACCGCAAGGUUGAAACUCAAAGGAAUUGACGGGGGCCCGCACAAGCGGUGGAGCAUGUGGUUUAAUUCGAAGCAACGCGAAGAACCUUACCAGGUCUUGACAUCUAGUGCCAUUUGUAGAGAUACAAAGUUCCCUUCGGGGACGCUAAGACAGGUGGUGCAUGGCUGUCGUCAGCUCGUGUCGUGAGAUGUUGGGUUAAGUCCCGCAACGAGCGCAACCCUUGUUAUUAGUUGCCAGCAUUAAGUUGGGCACUCUAAUGAGACUGCCGGUGACAAACCGGAGGAAGGUGGGGAUGACGUCAAGUCAUCAUGCCCCUUAUGACCUGGGCUACACACGUGCUACAAUGGGCAGUACAACGAGAAGCGAGCCUGCGAAGGCAAGCGAAUCUCUGAAAGCUGUUCUCAGUUCGGACUGCAGUCUGCAACUCGACUGCACGAAGCUGGAAUCGCUAGUAAUCGCGGAUCAGCACGCCGCGGUGAAUACGUUCCCGGGCCU
rnacentral:rRNA from 1 species